rnacentral:lncRNA from 1 species
UCAUAACUUCCUUAGUGGAUAGCUGGAUUCCACUGCCCUAUUGUAGGGAGAGCAUGUCAUGAUGUGUGUAUUCUUCUCUGUAUGGAUAGUAAGGCCAUUUUUAUUUUAUAAGUGGAUAAUGAAAGAGCCAAGCAUUUAAAAAAAUGCUUUAAAUGCAAACCACAGAUGGUAAGUCAAAUAUAAGAUAAAAUUCAAUAGUAGAAUGGUCAAUAUGAGGAUAAAACAUCAUAGGCCCAGGAUGGCAGGAUUCUGAUUAAAUCUGACUUAAAAGUAUGUUAAUAAGUAUAAUAUCAAGGCAUUUCACCAACAGAUUAAAUAUGUUUCAAAUGAAAUUCUCUUUUGAAAAUUAAUUGAGUGUCCAGGUAUAAUAAGAUACACCUGUGAUUUGUGACUUAGAGGUUGGAGGGAGAGGCUGGCCAGACACAGAGAAUUUAAGGCUAGCCUAGGCUACAAAACAUUUUCUCUCUGAAAGCAAACCAGCAGACAACACAUGUGGAAAUACAAUCUGUAGCUUGUACAGUUGAGUCAGGGAAGUAAUUUCCUUUGCCAGAGUCUGAAACUUAAGGUUCCAAAAUAGAUUUUUUGAAAAAAAAAAAAGAAAAGGAAAGAAAAAAGAUAAAAGGAGACAAGAAGAUCUGAACAUUGGAGCUAUGACUGAAGGCUUAAAUCCCAGCUAGCCCCAGGGCCUGCAUAUGUCCUGUCCUGCCCUCUGCAGACCUGAGCCCCCAUCACUCACUGUGAGCAGCAACAGUGAGGUAGAACUGCAGUUUUCUUUAGCUUUAUUUUUGCUGCACAAGCUUUAUUUUUAUACAUGAGAUAUUUCACUCUAAUUUUCUCUACCUAAUGUACCUAUUAUUUCAAAAUUAUUCACAGAGCUAAUUAACUCCAGUAGGCUUAGAUCGCAUUCUGUCACCUUAUGGCUUUAUAUUCUUCUAAUUGCUUGAACAACGCCUUCUGUCAAAAAAGACGGCUUCUUUCUGAAUAUUUGGACUGUUCAAUCAAGUUCAGCAAACAUUUAGUUGAGGUUCUAAUACAUUUCAGGUAGAGAAAUCUUUAAGUAAAAUUAAACUAGGAAAAACUGUUCGUGUUAAUUUUAGAAUCAUUUGACAUCCUCUGACACAGGAAUGCUGGGGUAAAUAGGAAGCACAAACCGGCAUCUAAUUGGAAAAGUCUGAAGAGGUGAGGGCAGAAAAUAAGCAUUUCUAUUUCUUCCCCUAAUUGAUCUAAGCUCCCUAAUUACAGAUAGAAUCUGACCGAGGAUGCAUGGCCUUUGAGUUUAACGUUAAUUACUUUGCUAUGUUUCUUGGCAAUUGCUUUUAAAGAAUUGAUAAAGUCAACUAUAUCUAGAGCCAAGUGUGAUUUAAAUGAUGAUAAAAUUAAAAGAUGAUUUUAAAACAUCUUCAAGCUAUACAGAGUCCUAAUUUAAUUGGCAAUACCAAAAUUUCUGUUUAUCAUUCACAUAAACUACUGGGUUUAAUUUUAAAAUUACAUUAAAUAUAUUUUUUUAAAUUAUGUUUAAAUCAUGUUUUACCUGGCAUGACACACUGAAAACCUAAACUGCCUCAAGCACAUUGCUUGUGUUAUGGGCUUUACCUGAGUUUCAAUCGAAUAUUCUUCACUAAACAAAGGAGAGAACAGCAAUUAUUUCCUGCAUAAAACCAUUUGUCUUAUACACAGAAGCUCACCCCCACCAGAAAUAUCAAAACAAAGGAGAGGGUUUAUUUACUUGUGUUUAUCCACCUGUCAGCUGUGUGAGCCUGUACCAUCUCCAAGAUGCACUCAUUAGUAUGUGCAUGAAUAAAAACAGAAAUAUGUACUUUUAGUCCUGAAUAAACCACAAUCUAGUGACAUACAAAGGAAAACUAUGAUACAG